UUUCCCGUUAUAUAAAUCUAGGUAGUGUUGCGGCUUCGAAUCCAUACACAAGAUAUAUAUGAAUGCGACGUUUGUACUUGAAAAAAAUGUUAUAGUCCAGAUAUAUGAUUGUGGUGCAGGCAGGCACUGCAUGUUACUCCAGAAGUUAUAUGUAAGCGACUACAGACAACAGCGGCGGGCUGCUCUAAGCAGGAGAUCGAUGUGCUUCACCACCAAUAGUGUAUCCAGAGGGUUGCGUUUUAAGUUUACUACCUCCAGCUCCGUUGCUAGCCAAAUAUCAUUGAAGCGGCGGCGGCGUCACCGGCGUCGUUACCGAAUCGAGAAAUGCCUAGCGCAAGAACGAACACGAACCAUGCCACGCUCACGCCAACACAUACGGUGUUAGUAUUGACAAGACUAGUAAAUAUAGUUAGAAGACUGACAGCCCCCAUACAACGCCGCGAGAUUGUCAAUGUUGUAGAUUAGAUUAAGGUUUAUUUUUAAAUUUUAGUUAUUUGCAUGUGUCAACUGCUACCCCGCUGCUAUUUAUAAUUUCUAAACAUUAAAAUUGGACGUGACUGACCGCUGUUAUAGUCUCUAAAUUAGGUAGGUAGAUUCAAACAUAAAGAAAGCAUUUUGAUCCCUUAGAAAAGGUUCAAUAAUCUUAAAACUAGAAGGUGCCCUGAAAUAUGCAAGCAUGUUUACGCCUAUACUGUUACCAAAGACGAAUUUUAAGGUUAUAAAUUGUAUGAAGAUGACACCUGCCACCGUAACCUUCAUGUAUAAAAAUAUUAUUAGGUGCGUUUAUUAUGUUUUAAUUUUACUUUUGUGCAUAUUACAGUCAUUUAUUUUGGCCAAGAGCAAAUUUUACAGGAAUGCCUAUAAAAAUAAAACACCUAUACAUGUCUUACUUAUGUUUGUUCUGUGGUUACAACAGCAGAUAGGUGCUUGCCUACAAGCGAAAUCCGAAACAAAAAACAUAAUAUUGGACGAAACAAAUAAUCUGUUCGACUGUUCGAUAGGUGUCUAGUCUUAAUAACGGAAAUGAGUAUGUUCGCUUGAAAUCGCGACUAAGUAGUCAAAAGUCUAAGCUUAUCCCUAUUUUAAUUUCAGAGAUACACGUAAAAUACAAGCAUUUUCAUGCGUGACUACUGCAAAGAACGUCCUUCGUAGAAGUUCGCACUGCUGAAUGAAGAUAAAAUAUCGUUUAAUAAACUAUAAACUGUACAUAAGAAAAUAAAAUACAGAACAGAG